rnacentral:rRNA from 1 species
CAGUCUAAACAUGCAGUCGAGCGGUAGCACAGAGAGCUUGCUCUCGGGUGACGAGCGGCGGACGGGUGAGUAAUGUCUGGGAAACUGCCUGAUGGAGGGGGAUAACUACUGGAAACGGUAGCUAAUACCGCAUAACGUCGCAAGACCAAAGUGGGGGACCUUCGGGCCUCAUGCCAUCAGAUGUGCCCAGAUGGGAUUAGCUAGUAGGUGGGGUAACGGCUCACCUAGGCGACGAUCCCUAGCUGGUCUGAGAGGAUGACCAGCCACACUGGAACUGAGACACGGUCCAGACUCCUACGGGAGGCAGCAGUGGGGAAUAUUGCACAAUGGGCGCAAGCCUGAUGCAGCCAUGCCGCGUGUAUGAAGAAGGCCUUCGGGUUGUAAAGUACUUUCAGCGGGGAGGAAGGCGAUAAGGUUAAUAACCUUGUCGAUUGACGUUACCCGCAGAAGAAGCACCGGCUAACUCCGUGCCAGCAGCCGCGGUAAUACGGAGGGUGCAAGCGUUAAUCGGAAUUACUGGGCGUAAAGCGCACGCAGGCGGUCUGUCAAGUCGGAUGUGAAAUCCCCGGGCUCAACCUGGGAACUGCAUUCGAAACUGGCAGGCUAGAGUCUUGUAGAGGGGGGUAGAAUUCCAGGUGUAGCGGUGAAAUGCGUAGAGAUCUGGAGGAAUACCGGUGGCGAAGGCGGCCCCCUGGACAAAGACUGACGCUCAGGUGCGAAAGCGUGGGGAGCAAACAGGAUUAGAUACCCUGGUAGUCCACGCCGUAAACGAUGUCGAUUUGGAGGUUGUGCCCUUGAGGCGUGGCUUCCGGAGCUAACGCGUUAAAUCGACCGCCUGGGGAGUACGGCCGCAAGGUUAAAACUCAAAUGAAUUGACGGGGGCCCGCACAAGCGGUGGAGCAUGUGGUUUAAUUCGAUGCAACGCGAAGAACCUUACCUGGUCUUGACAUCCACAGAACUUACCAGAGAUGGUUUGGUGCCUUCGGGAACUGUGAGACAGGUGCUGCAUGGCUGUCGUCAGCUCGUGUUGUGAAAUGUUGGGUUAAGUCCCGCAACGAGCGCAACCCUUAUCCUUUGUUGCCAGCGGUUCGGCCGGGAACUCAAAGGAGACUGCCAGUGAUAAACUGGAGGAAGGUGGGGAUGACGUCAAGUCAUCAUGGCCCUUACGACCAGGGCUACACACGUGCUACAAUGGCAUAUACAAAGAGAAGCGACCUCGCGAGAGCAAGCGGACCUCAUAAAGUAUGUCGUAGUCCGGAUUGGAGUCUGCAACUCGACUCCAUGAAGUCGGAAUCGCUAGUAAUCGUAGAUCAGAAUGCUACGGUGAAUACGUUCCCGGGCCUUGUACACACCGCCCGUCACACCAUGGGAGUGGGUUGCAAAAGAAGUAGGUAGCUUAACCUUCGGGAGGGCGCUUACCAACUUUUGAA